rnacentral:rRNA from 1 species
CACGUAGGAGACGAGCGUUAUCCGGAUUUACUGGGCGUAAAGCGUGCGCAGGCGGUUUCUUAAGUCAGAUGUGAAAGCCCCGGGCUUAACCUGGGAACUGCGUUUGAAACUGGGAGACUAGAGUGUGGCAGAGGGGGGUGGAAUUCCACGUGUAGCAGUGAAAUGCGUAGAUAUGUGGAGGAACACCGAUGGCGAAGGCAACCCCCUGGGUUAACACUGACGCUCAUGCACGAAAGCGUGGGGAGCAAACAGG